UUAUGGCCAUAUCAUGUUGAAACACCAGUUCCCAUAUGAUCAUCAAAGUUAAGCAAUGUCGAGCCUGGUCAGUACCUAAAUGGGUGACCACUUGGCCAUACCAAGUACUGUGA